GACGAACGCUGGCGGCGUGCCUAAUACAUGCAAGUUGAGCGCUGAAGGUUGGUACUUGUACCAACUGGAUGAGCAGCGAACGGGUGAGUAACGCGUGGGGAAUCUGCCUUUGAGCGGGGGACAACAUUUGGAAACGAAUGCUAAUACCGCAUAAAAACUUUAAACACAAGUUUUAAGUUUGAAAGAUGCAAUUGCAUCACUCAAAGAUGAUCCCGCGUUGUAUUAGCUAGUUGGUGAGGUAAAGGCUCACCAAGGCGAUGAUACAUAGCCGACCUGAGAGGGGGAUCGGCCACAUUGGGACUGAGACACGGCCCAAACUCCUACGGGAGGCAGCAGUAGUGAAUCUUCGGCAAUGGACGAAAGUCUGACCGAGCAACGCCGCGUGAGUGAAGAAGGUUUUCGGAUCGUAAAACUCUGUUGGUAGAGAAGAACGUUGGUGAGAGUGGAAAGCUCAUCAAGUGACGGUAACUACCCAGAAAGGGACGGCUAACUACGUG
rnacentral:rRNA from 1 species